UUGAACGCUGGCGGCAGGCCUAACACAUGCAAGUCGAGCGGAUGAAGGGAGCUUGCUCCUGGAUUCAGCGGCGGACGGGUGAGUAAUGCCUAGGAAUCUGCCUGGUAGUGGGGGAUAACGUCCGGAAACGGGCGCUAAUACCGCAUACGUCCUGAGGGAGAAAGUGGGGGAUCUUCGGACCUCACGCUAUCAGAUGAGCCUAGGUCGGAUUAGCUAGUUGGUGGGGUAAAGGCCUACCAAGGCGACGAUCCGUAACUGGUCUGAGAGGAUGAUCAGUCACACUGGAACUGAGACACGGUCCAGACUCCUACGGGAGGCAGCAGUGGGGAAUAUUGGACAAUGGGCGAAAGCCUGAUCCAGCCAUGCCGCGUGUGUGGAGAAGGUCUUCGGAUUGUAAAGCACUUUAAGUUGGGAGGAAGGGCAGUAAGUUAAUACCUUGCUGUUUUGACGUUACCAACAGAAUAAGCACCGGCUAACUUCGUG
rnacentral:rRNA from 1 species